rnacentral:rRNA from 1 species
GAUGAACGCUGGCGGCGUGCCUAAUACAUGCAAGUCGAACGCACUGUGGUUGAAAUGAGAAGAGAAGCUUGCUUCAAAUCAAAUGCCAACAUUGCAGUGAGUGGCGAACGGGUGAGUAACACGUGGGGAACCUACCUCUUAGCAGGGGAUAACAUCUGGAAACAGGUGCUAAUACCGUAUAACAAUAAAAACCGCAUGGUUUUAAUUUAAAAGAUGGUUCUGCUAUCACUAAGAGAUGGUCCCGCGGUGCAUUAGUUAGUUGGUGAGGUAAAGGCUCACCAAGACGAUGAUGCAUAGCCGAGUUGAGAGACUGAUCGGCCACAAUGGGACUGAGACACGGCCCAUACUCCUACGGGAGGCAGCAGUAGGGAAUCUUCCACAAUGGACGAAAGUCUGAUGGAGCAACGCCGCGUGUGUGAUGAAGGGUUUCGGCUCGUAAAACACUGUUGUAAGAGAAGAAUGACAUUGAGAGUAACUGUUCAAUGUGUGACGGUAUCUUACCAGAAAGGAACGGCUAAAUACGUGCCAGCCGCCG